rnacentral:lncRNA from 1 species
UAUACCGAUACAACCACCACCUUGUACCGGUACAACAGCUCCAGAUUGCUGUUUGACUUCGAUUCGGCUCAACUUCGCGCCGGUUGACGCCAAAACCAUUCUAACACUUCUUUAACUCAUUUUUCCCCCUUCCCAACUCGUUGGAAUGCGAGAGGAACUUGUUCAUCGCUUUUCUUCGACGCUUUAAGCAAUUUGGUCAAAGUUCGAAUAUCGGUUUCGGGUUUCGAUACGUUACAAUUAUCGUGUUCAAUUUAUUUCAGCAUCUCUACCCUUGCUCGCCUGGCACUUACGUAGGGCCUGCAUGACGAGGAUAGAGGCAAAAUUAUAAUUAAAAAUUUGAUGGGUUAUUUAUGAAAGUAAUUUUUUUAUGAGGAGGCCAAAUGCAAAAAAGGUCCUAUAAAUUGAUAAGAUUAGUAGACUAAUAUUAGUCCUUGGAAGAUAUAUAGGAUUUCAUGAUAACAACCAAAACUGAUUGUAGGCUAGUACUGCUCUUCUGUAAAAACGUAUUCACUGAUGGAGUGAUGAUAGUGGUAUCAAUUUCUCUCUUUUAGGGCACUGCAUGUUUGUAGGGCUGGCAAAUGAGCGAGCCUGAUAGUGGUAUCAAUUUCUCUCUUUUAGGGCACUGCGAGUGUGCAGGGAUGGCAAAUAAGUGAGCUAGCUUGUGUUUGGCUCACAUUCGGCUCUAUAUUCGACUAAUUCGAGCGCGACUCAAAAUUAAAUGAGCCGAGCUUGAACAAAAAAAAAAAACUAAAGAUUUAUUUCAAGCCGAGUUUUGAGAAUUACUAGGCUCGCUCAAAUUAGACUCGAAAAGCUUAAUAUAUAUAAAUAUAUAUAUAGAGUAGGGCUACUAUACUCUUAUGAGUAUAGAACCCUUACUACUCAUAAGUUGUUUUCGAUGUUGGAGUUUUCGAAUCGACGAUCCACACCGUUAAACAUGAUCUAUAGUAUUUGAAACUUCUAGAAAAUAAAUUUCAUAAAUUUUCGAAAUUAUUAUAAAGUCCAUCAAGCGAGUAUAAAAUGAAUGAUUAAAAUCGAAUGACAUCCUAAAAAUGGAUGAUUGGAUCCUUCAAUUUAAGAUCGGAGUUAUUGAUCUUUAUUUAGAUAGUGAAUAGAAUUUUCUAUCAAAAAUUCAACCUAUUUCGAUUCUUUUUCACCGUUAAACUAGUAAAUAUCUCAUACCGACCGUUAAAAAUUGUCAAUUUUGUGAACUUUUGAUCGUAAGGUAAAUGAUGUCGAAAAAUUAUGAAAUUUGAUUCUAGAUGUUUCAAAUGCUCUAAAUAACGUUUAACGGUGUAGAUCGUCGAUUCGAAAGCUCUAUCAUCAAAAACAACUUAUGAGUACGAGGGCGAUCGUACUCAUAAUAGUAUAGUAGCCGGACUCUAUAUAUAUAUAUAUAUAUAUA